rnacentral:misc_RNA from 1 species
GAUGAAGAACGCAGCGAAAUGCGAUACGUAAUGUGAAUUGCAGAAUUCAGUGAAUCAUCGAGUCUUUGAACGCACAUUGCGCCCCCUGGUAUUCCGGGGGGCAUGCCUGUCCGAGCGUCAUUGCUGCCCUCAAGCACGGCUUGUGUGUUGGGCCUCCGUCCUCCUCCCGGGGGACGGGCCCGAAAGGCAGCGGCGGCACCGCGUCCGGUCCUCGAGCGUAUGGGGCUUUGUCACCCGCUCUGUAGGCCCGGCCGGCGCUUGCCGAUCAACCCAAAUUUUUUAUCCAGGUUGACCUCGGAUCAGGUAGGGAUACCCGCUGAACUUAAGCAUAUCAAUAAGCGGAGGA